UCAAAAUAUGCUUAUAAGCAAUUACUAUGAAUACUUUUGGUAAACUCAAAAAGACAAAUAAAACAUAUUUCUAUAGAUUGUCUGAGAUAUAUACUUUGUUUUCACUUGUUUAUUAAAGAUAUUCAUACGCAUUGUUUACCAUUCUAUACGAAGGUCACACUUGACAGUUAGUAGUUGUCAUUUUAGGCUUUACAAUAUCGAUACUAUUUAGAUGUUUGACAGUUGUUGAUCGGAUAGAAAUUGCGAAGAAUUAAUUCCUGUUGGAUUACCGAUUUAAUUACGACCAUGGAUUAUACCGGUACACAUAGCAGAGCUUGUCACGUCAGCCAGACCAAGAGAUCACCCAAGGGACCGAAUCGCCCCAAUCAGAUAGCUCGACUGGCCACAACUGCAGUCCAAAUACCAGAAUGCAUCCAUGCCACCUGGUUUUUGACAUUACUGCUGUGGACAGAUUUUCAGCAAUGCAGCCAUCCUGGUUGCUGAAGCCACAGAGGUAUUUUCAAGGACAAAAACCAAUGCUGAUCAAAACAUGGUCUAGUGAUGGAAUUCCAUACCCGUUCUUGGCAAGGAUUUUUUAGAAAGGAAUAUUGUCUGCAAAAUAUGAUGUGCUAAUAAGCUCCAGUUUGCUGCGGCUUUUCGCCCAUGGCAGUGGUCCUGCAAUCUAGAUCCAGGAGUUGCAGCUCUGAAUCUAAUAUUUCAGAAUGAAGAUGUAAGUUAACUUUGUAGUACUUGUUUAUGUGUAAAUGAUUCCAAAGAGUGAGAUUUAUACUAAUCAGGUGUAAAUAAGCAACUUAUAGACACUGGUUAAGAGCUGUAAUCUAAAUUUUAAGGCAAAUCUAGUCUUCAAAACAGAUACUUUAAGCAAUUUUUUUUUAAACUUAGCAUAAUUAUGCUAUCACUGCAUUUUCUACAUCAUGUAGCCAUCUCAUAAAUGAAAACACUAGCAGUUGUCAUGAAUCUUUCAGUUUUGGUGUUUUUUUGCCAUUUCCUUUGCUGCGCCAUUUGUCC